ACUGCAUUAUGAGCACUUAAAG
rnacentral:miRNA from 2 species